AGAAGCCUAUAAUUUGUAGCAGACGGCCCAUUUAUCCCCUUACCCAUUCCUCUCAGUUCCCUGUUUGUACCCCGAGGCCCUGGCGUAGCCUCACUAGAGGGCGCAAGCGGCCCAAAAGGAUUGUCUCUCAAGGGUGUGUAGUAGUUAGUUGUGUGUACUGACGUGUAGCUGAACGUCAUCUCGUUUCACGUGUGUGAGAUCGAAACCUAAGGAAGGGUUGCGGCGUAUGCCUGGCCACUUCCGCUGGAUGGACUAUGUGGGGGAGUUGAGCGGAUGGAUCAGAAGAUGGAUCGCAUUCGUCAUGAAUCUCACUGGUACACUGUUCUAGCAACAGGCGAGUAAGCUCUAGCAUAUGUGGGCUCUCAGAUGCCAGUCGACGAUUUGAUUUUCCUGUUGUUGUGCCAGAGAUAUCGGAAAAGCUUUUCACAUUUCCGGGAACUUCCGCCAAAUUGUCUGGAUGGUCUACUACCCGACCAUGGAAAGGCGAUAUAAUAGGAAUCUCUUUGUCCACUGGCACGACGGAUUCAUCAACAAUCACUGCUUUGUGUAAUUUGAGCAAAUCUUCACAUCUGCGUUCCAAAUCACUGUUCGUAAGAUCAACGUUCCAUCGAUUUUUGAUGCUGAGCAAAUCUUCGACCUGUUCGUAAGGCUCUUCGUCAUCCAUCUGACCUUCUUCUAAUUCUUCCUCCUCGGGACUUUUAAAUUUUUUGGCUUUGAGGUUAAUGGGUUCUUCGAUCGCUUCUGCGGUGUCUCCUCUACAGACAAAUUUGGGUCCAAAUUCUUUCACUUUGCAAGCGUUUUCUUCUUCCUCUGAACCAUCGUCCGUAUCACUGUCAUUCAUGCUUUGAUCACUAUUAUAUGAGCCAUCUGAAAAAUUGCUUAUCAAUUCCGAUGGUGACUUCGGCCGGUACUGGGAGAAUUCCUUUGAUUUUGGCUCAUCCCAGGAUCCAACGUAAUCUUGUGUUCCCACGCCGAACUUAGGGAGGGAUCCUUCAAGUCCAGAAAUAUCAACCACCGGUUUAGACCAGUCAAAAUCUGCUCCAUUAUCAUUGGUCAGCAGAGCUACUGCUUGAAGAUCGCUAUAGUCAUAGUCUUCAUCGACCGUUUCUCCCGUUCCUGUACGUCAAAAUCAAAAUAGUACUGAUUAUGACAUCUAGCGAUCCAACUUGCUAUAACGUAUUACCAUUCUGGUUGUUGCCAUCAAUCGUAUCCGGGUUCCAUACUCCGAUAUCCAAUAAAGAAGCUCCUGUGCUUUUUUUCGCUUCCUUAUUUUCUCUUUUCUGCGGCUUUGAAGGCGAUUUCGGUACGUUGUUGACUUCGGUUUCAUCUUUUGGCUGAUUAAUUUCUUCAACGUUUUUAGCACUGACUGCCUUUUGAACUGGUGGUAAUAUGGGAUCUGAGGAUUUGCAUUUCCAAUCAAAUCGUAAGGCGGGCCAGCGGAAAUCUAAACAAAACAACAACAAAAAACAAAUUAACAAAAAAAACAAACAAACAAACAAAGGAUUACAAACACGAGCUAACUUAAAUUAACCUAUCACUACGAACCAGGGUCAAGCUGACUCUUUCCCAGAGAGAUUUCCAUCGCUACUUUGCAGCGGAGUUGUUCUGCCAGGAGGAGACCGUUCAAACGGUAAAGAAUGCACGGUAAACUAAACAUGGGCGCAAAUAACCAGAAAAGAUAUGGAAUUGUUUUUAUCAAAACGUAAAGAAAUUUUGUCUAAAGAAGAAAUUAAUAAAACGAAUAUUAAAUAAUUAACGACAUUUACCAAACUGCUUGUCUCCACAGAGAGGCCGAAAAAGGAUGGAUACUGCACAAUUCAGGCACCAGUAUUUGCUUUUGUUGCAGGCUUUCUCUUUGGGUCUUUUUUGUAUGCUCCGAACUAGUUGGAAGCAUUACUCCUUUUCGGUUCACAUACCUGUGUACGAAUUACAAAUAUGCAAACAAAUGUAUAGAACAUUGGUAACAACAAAGAAAAACCUCAUACGCACCUUGGCGUUAAGAAGUUUAGUCUAGCUGAAGUGUGAUCCACGUCCAAGAGCGGCUGCUUCAGAUUCUGUAUUUGGAUCCCAUAUUUAUGGCGGUAAUAUUUUUCGAAUGUUGGAUAGUUGUUAUCAGGAAAUUUAGACUGAGGGUUGAGUUCAUAGAAUAUCUCAGCAACGUAGAAACAUUGUGGAUGUUCUUGAUCACGGUACCAUUUCAUUACGACCGCAUCAGCAAACAAGCGGGGAUCAAAGACAUAACCGGUUCUCUCUUCGUCUGCUACCAGCUGAGGUUUCGCGUCUCGAACGGAUGAAAUUAAAUCGAUGAAUGCAAAAUCCAGAUUUAAGGGGGCGUUUUCCGCUAACGAAUUUCUCUUUAAAGGCACGAUUAGAUAGGAACAGUCGGCGUGAAAAACAUCUAACAACAUUGGAUCCUUUUCCAAGGAAAGCACGUUUCGGAAGAUGUAGCGUUGAAAAUCUGUUAUUUGUUUUAAUUGCUCCUCGGUCACAUAGACUUCAUCGGCGAUUUUUACUAUUUGCACUUCCACCUCGCCUGACCGAGUGAAAAUAGGAAACGGACAAAUUUGCGAUAGCGGUUUACUAUUCAAAAUUCCCAAACUCUGCAGGGAGGUCUCAGGUUUGUAAAUUUUUCUCCCACGCGUGUUUUGCUCCUCAGGUAUAGGCUCACUUAAUACCUAGUAAAUUUUUUUUCAUUAAUGAUCUAUUACUUUAAUGUAACACAAAUACCAUGGUGAUCGCGUAUAAGUAACAGGGUUGGUUGGGACGUGCAAUACCAUCGAUAAACGGCUCGGCCACUUGCUUAUAAUAGUACUGCCUUCGUUUCGUAGUGCCCGGACGUGGCAGAUUGUCGGGAACGAUUUCGUCUUCCAAAUCUGCGUUGUAAUCCUCCUCCUCUUCCAGUCGAAGGUUUUCCUUCCCAGUGGGAUAAAAGUUAUCGUCCAGCUCUUUUAGCUGAUGCAAUAACCGACACGCUUCUAGUGCUGCGGAUCGUUUGGCUAUAACUUUCGAUGGCAUCGGAAGACCUGACACAGUUUGCCGCAGAGGAGAAUUUAUUGGUAGUUGUAAUGAGCACACAUACGCUACAUCCAUGCGCAUUUUCCCGGCUGCAUCGCUUUUCUGAAAUAGUUCGGACCAUUUGUCCCAAACAGAUGGGUCAACGUAUUCUCGCAUUAUUGUUCGUAUUUUCCAAACAGGAAUAAGGCGCGUGAAACAAUCACUGGGCAACUUUGCGCAAUAUCUAAAAAUAUUUAUCUUUCUGCAAUUUACAGUCGUUUUCAUUUCAAACCCAUGUGCGCUAUACCUGUUAAUGAUGGAAAUGGCGUUUUGUAAAGACGCAUAUGAUUUUGAAGCGUCACCAGGUGUGUACGGUUUCUCAAUAUUAUUGAGCAUAUCUUCACUGUGAUUGACGAACUCGGCCAAAGAGUUGUGAUAGCCACUUUUACUUAGCAGAAUUUGUUCAGUGGCAUGGAAGUGAGAGAGAUUCACCAGAAAUUCAUCCAUGCGCUCCUUCUCGACCAUCAGAAUAUAAUGGGAUUUUUUGGCGCGCGCUCGAGCCUUUGAAUGAACAUACGCACGGUAAGUUUGUGGCAAAUCGUAUCGGAUAACCAGAUGGCACGCUGGAAUAUCAAUACCAUCCUCUAGAACGCUCGUGGCUACGAGAAUAUUACAGUCGCGACUGCGAAAACGUUUCAUAACGUCUUCUUGCUUUCGAUCUUCACUUUCUAUUUCCUUGACGGUCAUGCCUUCGACCCGAUCAACGGUAUAUAGAGGGCUUAGAUACGCUAACUGAGGGUCGCAUCGACUUGCAUCCUAGACAACAAUAAAUUAAGAUAUUUCAUCGAGUAAGGCCAAUGUAACAUCAUCUUUUGUUUACCUUUAAAAGAUGAUAGAGUAGUUUGGCUGUGGUGCGCCUUUCAGUGAAAAUCAUUCCACAUAGCUGAUAAGCGUCUUCUCGAAUACGGUGGUGACGAGCAGGGAAAUCAGGACGCCUACGACGACUUACGUGACCCGACUGAGUUGUUGGCCGACGCACAAAGGACGGGCCAUUCUCAGGUAACUCUACGGUCGGUAAUGUUUCCGUGGACAAUUUUUGAACUUGAUCAGCGAGAUCGUCGGCAUGAACUAAUACGGUGGAAUCGGUUUGCUCUGUUGGAUCAUUGUUUCCAGGCAAUUUUGAAGUUAUUGGUGGUCGAUAUAUACGGAGUAUGUCCAACAGACGAAGAACUUUAGGGUGGCUAAACUUUUCUAUACGUUCAUAUUCGGAAUAUCCCUGAAACUCUUCUUCGCACAAUGACCUACAAAAUGGAACAUAAAGAAUGAAAAAAUACUUUGAUAUCAGUACCAUUAGAAAGCCAACCGUAUUUCAAGUAAAACUGUGAAGACUAAGCACAAAAGAAGAUAGUGUCUUUCAUAAACUGCUUUGGUUUUCAAUUUCUCUAAAUGAAUGAGGUAAACCAGAGCAGCACGGUCUGCUCCCCAAGGACCUAAGAUAACGAAAUAGUUCUGAGUUGUAACCGAGAUAGGGGUACAUUCUUUCUAUAAAAAAAAAAACGAAUAAAUACAAAGAAAGUAAAACAAAACCCUGCUACACAAACAAAACAAUAUUUGCAAUAACUACAACCACUAGCAGUAACCGACAUUGAUUAAUUAAGAUAUGCUCUAUCUUUUACCAAAAUUUUGAAUGAUUUGGAUAUACUCUUCAAGUAGAUCAACAGGUUCAAGGCAGGGAUCGGGAAUUUCUUUAAGGUAGUCUUGCUCUCCAUAAUACUCUAUGGGAUCAUACCGAUGAUCUCGAAGAUAACUACUCAACUGCUGGACGCGAUCCAUGAUUUCUAGCUCGAGCCGAGUGGCUUCAGGCUUUGAGGAUAUUUCACACACUAAUUCUUUGGGGCGAGUUGAAUGCCUAUAUUCGAUCCACAAUUUAAAUAGAAGAGGAUAGAAAUCAUAAUUUUAAGUCUGUCAUAUGGUUCCUCACUGUAAUGCUGAUAAAACAUUGUUUGAUGUUGAAAUAGCUGAUUGCAAUUUGUUUUCCAGAAUAGUUAUCAAUUGGGAUAGUUCCAUUGGCUUGCAUAUGUUAUUCACUAUUGAUGCAGUCAAUCCCAGGAUUCUUGGAUGUAGACUGUUGGCUGACUUUUCAUAUAAAGCCAAUAUUUUUUUCAAAGCUUCAUCAUUCAUAACAUUAUGGCAGUCAUCCAAUAUCAACAAAUUAAGCUUGCUCAUUUCAAGGAAGUCUUUCUGGAUAGCCUCAAGGAAAACCUGAUAAGUCAUAACAAGCACUUGGCUUUUUCCCAACUCAUCUUUCCAUCUAGAAUAAGGAACAAUGGAUGUGGUAUCAAAAAUUUUCGAAAUACUCAUGUGCUUAGACAUACCUCUGACAGCUCCAUUUUAUUACUCCUUUUUUCUCAUGAAAAAUUCCCACCUUCAAAGGAGUGUGAUGACGUAAGUAGGCAGAUCGCUGAAGUGCCAAUUUAACUGUUGGCGUAAUGUAUACUGAGGAGAAACCUCCUAGUUGUAGUGGUGAACUGAUUGAGAUCAUCAGGAACACAUCUUAGAAUAUAGAGAAUAAUAAGAAAACAUACCUGCAAACUUCAAAAGCUUUUUCACGAAUUAACAUUACAGCAACAAACAUUUUUCCCAAAUCUGCUUUUAAACAUGCAAUGGUGUUUUUGGAUUUGGCAGAUUCAAAAAGUUCCACCUGUAAAAUUAGGGAACACAAUUAUAAAUUUCAUAAAAUUUGACAGACAACUAUGAUUGUACUGUGGUUUAAAAGAGGAAAAACUAUGUAUUAAAGAUUAGAAAAUUUUAAACCUCAGAAUCUCUUGGCGUAAAAUUGUCACUUGUUGAUAAAUCCAUCAUUAAUGGUAACAUCAUCCCUGUGUGUGUCGUUAAGUGAAAUAACAAUAGGUUUCAAUUCACGUAGUGUGGGAAAGAGCUGAACCACUACGUUAAAAAGCUUUUGUUUACAGCGUAACAGCAUGGCCUUUCGGCAUGGGCUCUUGCGUUAUGUAGACAAGCAGGGUUGGCGCUAUUCCAACGACAUUUUCUUUGCACAACUUCUGCAGUGUGCAGUGUGCACUUAAAAAGUUAAAAACAGGGCUCGGCCGGUCGGCCCCGCGUCAAUCGGGUAGCUUUUUCGCCGAUCAAAGAUCGUUUUGUGUUUCGGGGUGACUUUUUUUUCCCUGUCAAUGGGCAUUUGGGUCGGCUUCCGGGUCUAACCUGGUGCAAAGAAAGAGCAAACGGGUUCCGAUACGCGGUUACAUACCCCGAUCCAUUUUUGGCAAAGAUUUAUCGAUCAAACUUUUCGCCAUCUAGCGGAAACAUUUGUAUUCGCAUUUAAAGUUACCGUGUGCGGAUGAUCACUCCUGGUUUAAUUUUUUUUCGCGGUUUUUGUUUCUUAAAGCCAGUAUCAACUAUCAAGGCUUUGUAAAUGAAAGCAGGAUUCCAAAAAUCACGAUCAUUUGAUAAGGGAUAAUCAAAACAAAGGUUGCUAGAGCAAAAAGGGAAGCACACACACAUAUAUAUAUAUAUAUAUAUAUAUAUAUUUAAUUAGCACGCACGACGAACAGAAUCCCCAUCUAUAAAGUUCUUGCAGCUUUUACGGCAGCCAGAACGAUAUUUUUCAUGAGCAUCACUACAGUCAUAGGACCAACUCCGCCUGGUACUGGGGUAAUCCAACUGGCUCUCUUUCUAGCUUGCUCAAAAUCCACAUCGCCCACAAGUCUAGACCCCGACUUUCUUGUUGCAUCUGACGGGCGAAUUUCAGUUAGCCAAGAAACAAGUAGAACGGGAUAUAUGGCAUUACCAGGAAUAGAAGUUAUACCGCAAUCUAUCACAACUGCUCCUUUUUUAAUCCAUUCACCCUUUAUUAAAUUAGGUUGACCAAUGGCAACUACAAGUAUGUCUGCAUUAGCAACCUGUAUCAUCAUAGUACACAAAACACGUUAUUAUCUCAACAAAAGCUUUUAAAGAACAUUUCUGCUUACUACUUCAUCCAAGUUUUUUGUUUUAGAAUGGCAAGUUGUAACAGUUGCAUUGUGCCAUUUAAAUAGUUCGGAAACUGGUGUUCCAACUAUCCUGCUUCUACCGAUUACUACGGUAUGGCUUCCUUCGAUCUUCGUGCCUGAUCUGGAUACCAUUUAAUCAAUAUAUUGCCUUCCCCUACAAAACAAAAAAAGAUACCUUUUAACUAAUUCUAGGCAUCCACUGGGAGUACAAGGGAGAAAUCCAGUAGCCAGGUCACCUACAGCUACCUUGCCUUGGUUCCUUGAGUUCAGGCCAUCAACAUCUUUGUUGGGAAACACAGAAUCUGUAAUUAGAUUAGAAUUAAUGGAGUUCACACAGUCCAAUGGCAUCUGGACAAUAACUCCAUGAACAUGGGGAUCUAAGUUUAGAUGAGACAAGAUCCCCAAAAGCUGUUAGAAAACCAAUGACAAUUUAGUGUGGUAUAGAACAUUUGCACAAAUAAAGGGUUUUAUGUAUAUGAACAUAAUUAUGUAUUACCUCAAUCUCAUUUGUAGAGGAUGGAAGGACAAUGUGUUUAGCUAUGAUCCCAAUAUUUUUAGCUGCUUUUAAUUUCAUCUUCACAUAAACAUUUGAAUCUUCUCUGGCACCAACUUGAACAAUGGCAAGCUGGGGUAUUAAGCCAGAAUUCUGCACUUUCAGUUUUUUUACUUCUUGGCUUAGGGUCAGAAGGAUUUCUCUAAACUUAAUUUUGAUGAAUAAUCUUAAGAUAAUUAAAUCAAAUUUUAAAUAAUUUCACUUUGCAAUGUCAGAACCAGACAGCAACCUUCCAUAUUCUUUUGUUUUGAUGAGGAGUGAAGAAGACUGAGAGGAAAAUUUAUUUCCAUUAAUAAUUUGCUGUAAUAUACAAAAUUUGGUUGACAGUAUAUAUAACUAGAAUGGAAAUGUAUAAAUAAAUGUAAAAAUAGCUUCUAAAAUGUAAUAGAAGAAAGAACCAAGAUGGUUAACGAAUGACUGAUUCAGUUGCCUUAUAAUAACAACGAAGCCUGCGUUCUGCGAAUCCAACUAACACCCUUGGCUGACAACAAGACAACAUUUUCAGGACACUCCUCACUGUUGUUUCGUAGCUUUACGGUUUGAGGCGAGGAAAGAAGAUUUCGUCUUAUCUUUAAUGGAAUACAGGAAAUUCUAAUCUAUGGAAAUGGAUCUCUGCAAUGAAGCUAAAAUGCUGAAAAUGGAGUUGGUCUCCGCGAGACGGUCUCGAAGAGUCGAGACCGUCACCGCUACAUCCCAGUGGGACUAUCCCGGCCCUCUGAUUGGCUCCCUCAACCGUUAUACCCUUCCAUGUAUUUCUGCUUUCCGCUCCCACAUUUUCCUGAUACACACAGCGUGGUUUUCUGUGGGAGUGGAGUUCACGCUUUGAUUUGUUUGUUUCUUUGUGUAUUUAUAUUAUUUACAUUUAUUGUUUGCUGUUUGUUAAGUUUUACAAAUACAACAUUUUUACUUA